UCCCCAGAGGCUUAGUGGUAAAGAAUCUGCCUGCAAUGCAGGAGAUACAGGUUCAAUCCCUGGGUCAGGAA
rnacentral:tRNA from 1 species